rnacentral:rRNA from 1 species
AGUGAACGCUGGCGGCGUGCUUAACACAUGCAAGUCGAACGAGAACGGAUUAUAGCUUGCUAUAAUUGUCAGCUAAGUGGCGCACGGGUGAGUAAUAUAUAGAUAACCUGCACUCUAGAAAGGAAUAACAGUUGGGAACGACUGCUAAUGCCCUAUAUGCCUUUAAUACAUAAGUAUGCAAGGGAAACGCUUUAGUGCUAGAGGAUGGGUCUGUAUGGUAUCAGCUUGUUGGUGAGGUAAUGGCUCACAAAGGCUAUGACGCCUAACUGGUUUGAGGGGAGUAUAAGUGACACUGGAGCUGAGACACCAUUCAGAAUCCUAGUGGAGACAGCAGAGAGGAAUAUUGCCGAAUGGAUGAAAGUCAGAUGCAGCCACGCCGCGUGGAGGAUGACACAUUUCGGUGCGUAAACACUUUUUAUAUAGGAAGAUAAUGACGGUACUAUAUGAAUAAGCACCGGAUAACUCCGUGCCAGCCGCCCGCCGUAACAC